rnacentral:rRNA from 1 species
CCUACGGGAGGCUGCAGUGAGGAAUAUUGGUCAAUGGCCGCCGGGCUGAACCAGCCAAGUCGCGUGAGGGAUGACGGUCCUAUGGAUUGUAAACCUCUUUUGUCAGGGAGCAAAAGGCGCCACGCGUGGCGUUCCGAGAGUACCCGAAGAAAAAGCAUCGGCUAACUCCGUGCCAGCAGCCGCGGUAAUACGGAGGAUGCGAGCGUUAUCCGGAUUUAUUGGGUUUAAAGGGUGCGCAGGCGGAAUGUCAAGUCAGCGGUAAAAUUGAGGGGCUCAACCUCGUCGUGCCGUUGAAACUGGUGUUCUUGAGUGAGUGAGAAGUAUGCGGAAUGCGUGGUGUAGCGGUGAAAUGCAUAGAUAUCACGCAGAACUCCGAUUGCGAAGGCAGCAUACCGGCGCUCAACUGACGCUCAUGCACGAAAGUGUGGGUAUCGAACAGGAUUAGAUACCCGAGUAGUC